GGCCAAGUUUUUAAGGGCGCACGGUGGAUGCCUUGGCACCAGGAACCGAUGAAGGACGUGGGAGGCCGCGAUAGGCCCCGGGGAGCUGUCAACCGAGCUGUGAUCCGGGGGUGUCCGAAUGGGGAAACCCGGCAGUCGUCAUGGGCUGUCACCCGUAUCUGAACACAUAGGGUACGUGGAGGGAACGCGGGGAAGUGAAACAUCUCAGUACCCGCAGGAAGAGAAAACAACCGUGAUUCCGGGAGUAGUGGCGAGCGAAACCGGAUGAGGCUAAACCGUUCACGUGUGAUACCCGGCAGGGGUUGCGUGUGCGGGGUUGUGGGAGUUUCCUUGAUUGGUCUGCCGGCCGGUCGGAGAGUCAGAAA
rnacentral:rRNA from 1 species